GGGUGCCCUCGAAGGAAAACCUCUUCUCUAAAUAAUAUUUCUUUUUAGGCUUAGCAACCAAUGUAAAGUAGAAAUAGAUCUUCUAGUUUCUACUAGAUUGAGAGAGAUAGAGUGGAGGUGUGGAUCGGAGGAAGGCCGGCCUGUCGGUGUCUACUCCGAGUUGUACCUGCGGGAUCAAGUCUCCUAACCCGAGGCUUGCUUCUAAGAUUCUUCAGUAAUUCGACUUCUAAUACUAGUAAGUUCUUGUUUUAUUGUUCUUUGGUUUAUGAGUUUACUUUAAUCCUCUUCCGGUUGAGUAUUAGAGUAAUCACUUGCUAGCGUAAACGUGGUGUUUAGGCUAGGGUACUCAUAGAUAUCCCCUGACUAGCUGGACCGUGGUAGUAGCGAGGAACGUGACAUUUCCGAGUUACCUUUGCAGAUCACAUCUCGUUAGCAGGACGGGUAGGUUUAUAGGUGCGGGUCGAACAUCCUUUGUGUUGUCUAGAUUCCGUGAGCCUCCCCAAUAGAACAGUAGAACAGGACCAAGGUUAGAACGAGACUACGGUUGCAGUCUUCUCUAUACAUCACUCACAUCUAGAGACAUUCUUUGUAGCCUAAAGGGAUAGUAGCAAUAGAUUUGGUUAGUCAGAUGCACCCUUUCUCCCAGUGGUAAAAAUAUAAAUACGAUAACUCUGGAAAACCUCCCGGGUGAAAUGCUCACCGAUAUCCGUGCGCUUGCGGAUCAUUAUCUAAUUGCGUUACCAAAUAUCAACAAGCAUUUCUGGCGCCGUUGCCGGGGAGAAAGACGGUUUGCUGAGAUAACUUUGAGUCUUGCUAUUAUCUUGUAUUAUACUUUUAUACUUUUAUUCUUUUAUCUUUUUAUUUUUAGCUUUAUGGAUAACUCAAAUUCCAUACCUAUUAUUAAAUUCUUUGCACCUUCGGAGACCAGCCAUAGACCAUGGGAGUCAACACGUCCUGCCCCUAAUUAUGAUCUGUGUCCGGAGUUGAUUGCAAUAGGUCAAAACCAACCUUUUCUAUAGCCGAGGUCCUAUCUUUUAAUCAAAAGAUAAUGCACUUUUAGCUACACCUAGGGAAUCUUUUAAUCUUUCUAUAAAUUCUGGUUUAGACCUAGCCCUACAAGACCAUGUUUUUUCUCGAUAUUUUCACAUUGGUCUUAAUCAUAUAACCUUUGGUAGAGUCCUUCUUUCUUUAUCUAUUAGUAAAGGAAGGUAUGUCUUCAUUCGUGGGCAUCCUUCUUGUACUAGUCUUCAUAGAAAAAUCUUAGAGAUAGAGAAGGAAUCAUCUCCCAGACGAGGAAAGGAAGUUUCAAUAGCCGAUUUCCAAACAUUUCAAACCCAUAAUUCGGCUAUGCACACCUUCCUUGAGCUUAAUAAAUUCUACUAUGCUCUUUCUCUUAAACCUCCCGAUAAUCCUAUGAAUUUCUCUAGACAUCCCAUGCAUAAGAAGGAGGAUCGAGAAGAGCAACAUCAAUGGCUAGAGGGCAUUAAAAAUCCAUAUGCUAUCACCAUUGAAUGGAUAGAUAAAACAAACUUGAGAGACAAUCCUAGAGGAAUUUUAAGCAUUCAUGAAGAAUCAUCCUUGGAGUUUGAGAAUGAGAGAAACAACAGUGAGCAUGGAAGUUAUUUCAUAAAUACCUCACCAAGUCCAUGUUCAUAUGCAACAUCUCCCCAAUCAAUUAGUCUCUCCAACAUUACCACAUUUGAGAUCUCCAACCCUCUCUUCUUUUCUAUUUAUAAAAACUUUAAAAGAGCGGUUGUCGAUGCAUAUGUCUAUAAUAAAUAUUGCAGAUCUCGCUGAGUUAAUUGAUGGUUUCCCAAGGAUAAGCUUAGUGUCCUAAAACAAGCACUUCUAAUUAUUUGCAACAUUGCCUUGUGUAUUGAGCAUAUAAAGAUAAUUGUAGAAAUAUUCCUUUGGGUAUUCUUGUCACUAACCUUUCCAGGAUUGGAGCAAGAAGAUCGGAUGAAUGACAAGCACAAGGUAUGUCCAACCAACCAUCACACAACAUUGAAUUAAAUUCAUCCAAACUUGAAUUUUCCAAAAUUCAAGCUUGGGGGAGUACUUUACAUAAAAACAUCCUUUGCCAUGUUGCUACGUUGGUUGUCCCUACGUUUGAGAGAUGCUCAAUUUGUUAUGUACUAAUUACACUACUUCACCUCCACUUGAGUAGAUCGCUAUAAAUGCUCUCAUGCUACCUUUAUUUGCUUUAGUAUAUGUCUAGGUUUGGAGUAGUUUCAUUUGUCUCUUAAAUCAAGCAUGGUGCUUAGUUUAGGAAUGAUGAUCUUACUUCCAAAGGAUUUUUAAAUUAAGCAUGGUGCUUAGGUUAAAAUGCCCUCCUAAAUCAAAUUAGACAUGGUGUCUAGGUUGAUUUUUGAGCCGAUAGUAUGCUAUAGUAGAUAUGGGAUAUUUUGUUGGACUAACCCCUGCAGGAAAACUUUCAAUAUCAAUUUGGGAAGUCCUGAGAUACAAACUCAUUGGAGAUAAAGGAGACACAUGAAGUUUAACAAUUUACACAAGAAGGACAUAGCUCAUUCAUCAUAAAGAGAUGAUUCAUGGAGGGUGCCACAAACACGAUGCACAACCGCUAAGAAAGGAAAGCUUCCACAAGGUGAUACUGUACCAUCACUCUUCAAGUAAGGUAACAUCUUAAGGUACUUAUCACUUUUAUAAGCUUCACCUUUGUCCUAGCAUUCACAUAAAAUAAGGAGACAAACAUGUAUGAUUUAUAACUCCAGAUUAACCAACUCAAUUAAUUCAGCAUGUUUAGUCCUUUAAUCUUUCUUCUUAGUACUACCUUCGUGAUCCCACACUCCUAAUCAUUGCACAUUCAAUCUUUGGAAGAUAUAAACAAAACAUAAAUAUAGAUAGAUUAUCUUUCCAUUAGGUUGAGCCAUCUGAUCUAACAAAUGUUUUAAAUGCUACACUCAUGAUCCAUCAACUUUAUCUUGCUCACUAUGCUUAAGGUUAGAGAAGAACAAAUACACUUUUGGUUCUGUUGGUGUUUUCCACCAACAGGGCCCAUGCACUUGAUCUCUGCCUUGUCUCUAUGAGCAGGACACAUUUUGAGAAACGUGAAGGCGUUUUACAACUCCCAGAUUCCAUCAAGUGAAGAACCGAGAUCUACAAGCACAAACACAAUGGAGAUCAGGCGAUAACUUUUCCAAAAGGAAUAUUGAAGAACCUUUGUGUCCGAGUUGGUACCUUAUACGCUCCAGCAAACUUCGUGGUGAUAGAGACUGGUAGUAAGGAGAGGGCACCCAUCAUCUUAGGGAGGCCAUUCCUAAACACCAGAGCUGUCAUCUACGCUAAUGCUGCCAAGAUCAGUCUCUUCAUCAAGGGGAAGAAGGAGACUUUCCUUCAAGAACAAGAAGAACAAGCAAAUGUGGACCGAGUCAGCUGAGGUGGUCACUACAGCUCAAGGACGUCAGGAUCGUCGACUCAAGUCACCUUUCUUGAUCAAGAAGGACGACCCUGGUGUGCCAAGCAUUGAGUGCACAAUCAACAAUUACUCUUUUCAGAAGACACUCUACGACACCAGAUCUGACGUCAACAUAAUAACUGCAGUCACUUCUCAGCUCCUGCAUGGAACCAUGCCCCUACAACCAAUAUAUUCAGCUCCAAACAAUUUUCAGGUCAUUGACAUGGGAGAAGACGAGUAUGAUCCAUCCACCAUCCUUGGAAGACCGUUCCUAAACUCUAUCAAAGCCAUUAUCUAUAUUGGAACCGGAGAAGUCCACAUGCACUUCCCCUCUGAGAAAGGUACGCCACUACUUUAAUGAUUAUAUAGUUGAAGAUUCUAAGCAGGUCAGGACAAGAAGAAGACAACGCAACCGCAACCAGAGGAGGCAAAUCAUCAAGGACGGACAGGUAGACUACGAAGGAAAAGUGAUAAGGACUGAAGACAUACAACUUGAACAGAACUGUCCUGAGGAGACCGUAGCACCGAGUCAGGUGUGGAAAGAGAACAUAGUUAUACACAAAGAGGAGUCGCCACCAGAAUCACCGACUACGCCACCUAGCAAAUCCCAGGACGACUAAAAACACAAGGAGUCCCAUUCGGAGGACUUAAAAACACCGAACGCCUUGCCAAGAGGUAAACUUGGUAGUUAUCCUUUCCCUUUCAAUUAUUUCAAAUAGUUUACUUAGUUAAUCAUGUUCGUAUUAUCCUAAAAAGAAAAUAAAAAUGUGAAAAACAGUAAGCCCCAUGUGAGUACACGAGUGGCAUAAAACCCAUAAGUACAUUCACUGUGGUGGCAUAAAAAUAAAAUAAAUAUUUUUCUACUUUAUGAAAACAAAAAUAUAAAAACAGGGAGUAAUGAUUAUUAAGGAGUCUCAAGAUAAUAAAGGCUAGAUAUUUAUGCUAACACUUAAUCAGUUCCACAAGCUUUGUUGUCUAUUUGAGCUCCACAGAAUUUAAGAAUCACGAAGACUAGCAGACGGAGGACAUUCUAAUUGCUGUCAGAAUGUUGCUGACUUUCAAAUACACCUCUGCCACCUGCUAGCUACAUCAAGAGAAAUUACGUGAAAAUUCAGCUUGGGGGAGAGCACCCCCAUUUACCUCGAUAAGUAUUUCUAUCUAUCUUCAUACUUAUAUUAUUUUAGAAUAUAAAUACACAUAUCUAUGAAAAACCAAAUAAAGAUUUUAUGCUUAUAUAUAUUUUGCUUAGUGUGUUUAAUAAAUAAAUAAAGUGGCUAUGCUAAUCAGUAUCUAACUCAAGCAUGGAUAUGAUGAAUAGUUGCUCUGCCUAAUUUGCACAUUUUAAGUUCUCUCUCAAGUUUAGACAUAACUGUUAUAAUUUAAGGCUUGCUCUAGACCUAAACUUGUGGGAUAAAAACUUGAUCUGAAGUCUAAGUUGUUAACGGAUACGAUAUGGGAAGGUUGAGCUGCUGUUUAUCUGUUCCUAGAGAUGCUAGAAUUCUGGAGAAUUUUAUCUUUGAAAAUCUUUAAAAUGUUGCAUGAUGAGUUCCUGUAUGAUGAGAGUUUAAAUUCCUACCACAGCCAUAUAUACAUGCUUGCUAGACUUUGAGCCACAUAUUUACUUUUUACUGCUUAUGAGCAUUGAGUGUGGUCAAGGUGUGUAGACCCUUAGGAGCUUGUCAUGUGGUUAAAAUCAAGAUUCACUUGCACGUUCACUCAUACAUGCUACUUCUACUCUGGAAGUACCAUCCACAUACAUCCACUCAUUUCCAUCUCCACAUUCACCCAAAAAUUAUUCUACUCCUAAUCCGGGAGAGAAUAGCCAAAAAUAUUUUCCUAUCCCUGUUAUUCCCUGUGAAAUAAAUGCUCAAGUAAUCUUGGUUACCACCACUUGCUAUAUUAUUUCAGGAGAUGAGUGCUCUAAAAAAAAGAGAGAAAAAAAAAUAUAUACGAGGAAAUAAAAAGGGGCAAGUGCCAGGAACCUCGAAGAAAAGAAAAAGUGAGACGAGAGGUAAAAAUGGACAAGUGUCCGACAGUAGAAUUAGGGGUACAAGAUACCCACCUGAGAGGAAAGAAAAAGAAAAUAUAGAGCAUCUCAUUCUCCUCAUAAGGUUUCAAAAGCAAGGAAGGUAGGUAUCCCCUCAAAGAGCAAAGUAGAAUUAGACUUCCACCACCAUUGUUAUCACCAUCAUCACCAUACACCAUUCAUUCGCCACACAUGCACAUCUUGAUUUGGCUUAUUGAUUUGUUUCUUUGGAUCCAUGGUUUGACUAUGCAAUAAAUGUCUUGUAAGUAUGUAUACUUUAUCUCCCACCUAUAAGCUCCAGAUAUUAAAGCCUUAUUAGAGUAGGGUGAGAGAGAAGACAAUGUCACUAUGCUUCAUACCACAAAUACUACAUAUCUUGAGAGAAGGCAUAUACCAUCACUGCCUUGGUAAGGAUUCAAAUACCACAAAAGAGAGACCUGAGAGAAUCAUACAAGGAAUUUCUGAGUUUUAUUUGAAAAUCUGCAAAAACUCUAGAGCUAUAGCUGAUCAAGAAUAAGAGACAUGGCACUUGGCUAGACUGUUCUAUCUUUUAACCAUUCAAGACAGAAGUGACGGUUAAAAGUCCUAUGGUGUAGGUAAAGUAAGUAAGUUUUAAGUCUUAACAGUUUAGUUUAUUCUAACUCAGAGAUGAGAUCUUGCUUGAAUGCGUGUGUACUUUUAAGAAAUGAAACCACUGCAGAAACUCUCGAGUUCAUCCUUGCUCAGGGACGAGCAAGAGGUAAGCUUGGGGGAGUUUGUUGACGGUCCUUAAGUAUCAAAUUUAAUUAUCAAAUAAACAAAGAAAAGGAUCCAAAUGAAAUCAACAUCUAGACUUAGGGUUUUAUCUGACAGAAUUCCACGAGUUUUGGUGUUUGUCUAUUUCUGCAGGGGGUUAUCAGGAAAUAAGGAAGAAAGGCCCACAUGUCGGGAUUACAUAGAGAUAUCAACCCACCGCGCAAUUUUCUACCAUCUAGAAGACUCCAGAAGCCACGGGAAGGAAUCGGAGCCCGAAAGGGGCCAGGCCCAGGGCGCCCGCCCACCUCUGGACCCCAUUCCGGACUCUCUUCGCACACGAUGUUCCACCGACCUAUUGGAUCCAGAAUAACAUAGUACCACCUCGCCUAUCGACCCAAAAACGCAUAGAAGGGGAGGACUAUAUAAGCAAGGCCCCCCUAGCCCCUGGAGAAGACAUGAAGAAAUGAUCAUAGAGAUUGAGGGGUGCCCUCGAAGGAAAACCUCUUCUCUAAAUAAUAUUUCUUUUUAGGCUUAGCAACCAAUGUAAAGUAGAAAUAGAUCUUCUAGUUUCUACUAGAUUGAGAGAGAUAGAGUGGAGGUGUGGAUCGGAGGAAGGCCGGCCUGUCGGUGUCUACUCCGAGUUGUACCUGCGGGAUCAAGUCUCCUAACCCAAGGCUUGCUUCUAAGAUUCUUCAGUAAUUCGACU
rnacentral:lncRNA from 1 species